GGAGUUAGCCGGUGCUUCUUCUGUGAGUGAUGUCCUUCCUGCCGGCUAUUAACCCGCAGGCCUUCUUCCUCACUGAAAGUGCUUUACAACCCGAAGGCCUUCUUCACACACGCGGCAUGGCUGUAUCAGGGUUGCCCCCAUUGUCCAAUAUUCCCCACUGCUGCCUCCCGUAGGAGUCUGGGCCGUGUCUCAGUCCCAGUGUGGCUGAUCAUCCUCUCAGACCAGCUACGGAUCGUCGCCUUGGUGAGCCGUUACCUCACCAACCAGCUAAUCCGACAUAGGCUCAUCCGAUAGCGCGAGGCCCGAAGGUCCCCCGCUUUCCCCCGUAGGGCCGUAUGCGGUAUUAGCCUGGGUUUCCCCAGGUUAUCCCCCACUACCGGGCAGAUUCCUAUGCAUUACUCACCCGUCCGCCGCUCGCCACCAGGGAGCAAGCUCCCCGUGCUGCCGCUCGACUUGCAUGUGUUAGGCCUGCCGCCAGCGUUCAAUCUGAGCCAGAAUCAAACUCUGA
rnacentral:rRNA from 1 species